rnacentral:rRNA from 1 species
UAUUGCACAAUGGGGGAAACCCUUAUGCAGCGACGCCGCGUGAGUGAAGAAGUAUCUCGGUACGUAAAGCUCCAUCAGCAGGGAACAAAAUGCCGGUACCUGACCAAGAAGCCCCGUCUAACUACGUGCCAGCAGCCGCGGUAAUACGUAGGGGGCAAGCGUUAUCCGGAUUUACUGGGUGUAAAGGGAGCGUAGACGGCAGCGCAAGUCUGGAGUGAAAUGCCGGGGCCCAACCCCGGAACUGCUUUGGAAACUGUGCAGCUCGAGUGCAGGAGAGGUAAGCGGAAUUCCUAGUGUAGCGGUGAAAUGCGUAGAUAUUAGGAGGAACACCAGUGGCGAAGGCGGCUUACUGGACUGUAACUGACGUUGAGGCUCGAAAGCGUGGGGAGCA